rnacentral:lncRNA from 1 species
CUUAUGUAGUUCUUACAUUGUAGGUGAACAUGGAACUACAUAGAGAGCAUGGCUAGCUGUGGAGCUCCUACAGGAUUCCAGAGUUCGAUGUACAUGGAUGACGACCUGUAGGGUUAUUUUGUAGGCUGCCAUCUGUUGGGUUAUAUUUUGGAAUCCUAUAUAGUGUACUUUUGAAAUGGCCUGUAGACAUGUUUAUAAGCUCUGAAUAUAUAUGUUGGAUUAUGG